rnacentral:rRNA from 1 species
UGCAGUCGAACGAUGAUCCCUGGCUUGCUGGGGGGAUUAGUGGCGAACGGGUGAGUAACACGUGAGUAACCUGCCCUUGACUCUGGGAUAAGCCUGGGAAACUGGGUCUAAUACCGGAUACGACCAUCUGGCGCAUGUCAUGGUGGUGGAAAGCUUUUGUGGUUUUGGAUGGACUCGCGGCCUAUCAGCUUGUUGGUGGGGUAAUGGCCUACCAAGGCGACGACGGGUAGCCGGCCUGAGAGGGUGACCGGCCACACUGGGACUGAGACACGGCCCAGACUCCUACGGGAGGCAGCAGUGGGGAAUAUUGCACAAUGGGCGCAAGCCUGAUGCAGCGACGCCGCGUGAGGGAUGACGGCCUUCGGGUUGUAAACCUCUUUCAGUAGGGAAGAAGCGAAAGUGACGGUACCUGCAGAAGAAGCGCCGGCUAACUACGUGCCAGCAGCCGCGGUAAUACGUAGGGCGCAAGCGUUAUCCGGAAUUAUUGGGCGUAAAGAGCUCGUAGGCGGUUUGUCGCGUCUGCUGUGAAAGACCGGGGCUCAACUCCGGUUCUGCAGUGGGUACGGGCAGACUAGAGUGCAGUAGGGGAGACUGGAAUUCCUGGUGUAGCGGUGAAAUGCGCAGAUAUCAGGAGGAACACCGAUGGCGAAGGCAGGUCUCUGGGCUGUAACUGACGCUGAGGAGCGAAAGCAUGGGGAGCGAACAGGAUUAGAUACCCUGGUAGUCCAUGCCGUAAACGUUGGGCACUAGGUGUGGGGGACAUUCCACGUUUUCCGCGCCGUAGCUAACGCAUUAAGUGCCCCGCCUGGGGAGUACGGCCGCAAGGCUAAAACUCAAAGGAAUUGACGGGGGCCCGCACAAGCGGCGGAGCAUGCGGAUUAAUUCGAUGCAACGCGAAGAACCUUACCAAGGCUUGACAUGAACCGGGAAAGACCUGGAAACAGGUGCCCGGCUUGCGGUCGGUUUACAGGUGGUGCAUGGUUGUCGUCAGCUCGUGUCGUGAGAUGUUGGGUUAAGUCCCGCAACGAGCGCACCCUCGU